GAAGGAAUAGCUCAGUGGUAGAGUGCGUGCUUAGCAUGCACGAGGUCCUGGAUUCAAUACCCAGUACCUCUG
rnacentral:tRNA from 1 species